rnacentral:lncRNA from 1 species
AUAAGAUUUGGUACUUUUAAUAAAAAAAACAUAUUUUAUACAAUAAAAUUUGAAUAUUCCGAUCACGAUCCGUCCUGUUAUGUGUUUAAACUGAUCGUGAAUGUAUGUAAUCCUAUUUCAAUUCUUUCCUUAUACCUUUAACUAAUGUUGCAUAAAUGUUGUUGUACUUCUAAAUUAAUACAGUACCACAUUGUUAUCUAAGUUCUAUAUAUGUGUUUAUUAUUUAUUAUGGUAAUUUUUUU